rnacentral:lncRNA from 1 species
CAAAACUUGGAAAUCCAUUAAGGCUGACUAGGUAAUUAUGGCUUAAAAGGAAAAGACUUUACCACAGAAUACGUUAGAGAGUCCCAUUGGCAUCUGAGAAGAGUGAAUCCACUUCAGGGGCUGCUUCUGCCAGUUGUGUGCUAUGGAUCAUGCUGGCUACAACCUUUCAGACCACAAGUGGAGAAGAUUAAGUCAGUUAAAAUAUCCCAUACUGAGUUAUUUAUCUAUGUGCUCUACCCUCUUAUUUGAAAUCACUGAAAUUCUGUCAUUGCCCCAGUGUGAAUCCUGGACAUCUCUCUGUUCCCAGUUUUGUUCUCAUGCACUGCUUUGCGCUUAUGAAGCCAUGAAUUUCCAGUAAUGUGACAAUUUUGAUGUUCUAGCACUUCUCGCCUCCAAGCUCAAACAGG